GGGAGAGCGGGGUCUGAGAGAAAGGAGCUGAAGGCUCCUCAGGCCGCAGAGACUGCGCCAGGCUCAUGAAACGCAGCCUGAGCCUGAGCUGCAAAUAGCUGGAAGCUUGGAUAGCCGUUCUGAACCUUAAUUUUCCCUGGUAGCUGGGACUGGAGGUGGAAUUAGGUGGGUCUGUGCUCCAGCUAGUGGUGGAUCUAUUCCAGUCCCGUGCAGUGGCUCUGCUAGUGCAGCAGAGGUGCCUCUGCACUGGGCCUUCUCUUCAGGAAAAAGGCAUGGCCAGAAAGGUUAGGCUUGCAGAUAGGUUCACAUAACAAAAACUGUGUUUCUAGACAGAAUCCCAGUGAAAAUUGCCCAUGGGAUGAAAGUGGUCUGCUUCCAUGGGCUCUGCUGAAGAACAGUAGCCUGGCAGUGUUUGCCUGUGUGAAAGGAAUGUUUAAGGGGCCAGGGUUUAGCCCCAGGAGGCCCCUAAGCCUCACACAGCCACUGAGUUGCUUUUCUCCCUGCAGCGAGAGGAGGGAGAGAAUCCAAAGGAUAAAAAUGAGGAAACUUGUGGGUCAAGCUACAGAUAAGGAAAAAUAAGGAAUUCAUUCACUGCUUCCCGUUGUCAGGCAGGUGUUUAGCCACCUUCUGGAAAGCAAGCCUCCACCACUUGCAGUGGUUACUUGGGAAGACAAACAACUUCACUUCAAAUGUUUCCCUCCUUCCAGGUGUUAUUGCUGGAAUAUCCCCUGGGUCAGCUGGGAUCAGCUGUCACGACUCACUGUGUAACCCCAGCCUGGUGGGGUGGGGUGAGAAAAGGCCUUGACACUGCAAGAACUGCACAGCAACAGCUGAAACAUGCUGGCGUUACUAGCACUGUUUUGGUCACAAAUCCAAAACACAGCACCACAUGAGCUACUAUGAAGAAAAUUAACUAUCCCAGCCAAAACCAUCACAGGUGGUUUCACUUGGAAGUUUAUUUUCCAGUUACAUUUCAGUACUUCCUGUUUUUCCAUAUACCAGGUGUGCUGCCUUUGCAGGACAGUAGCUGCAACAGCUUAAAAAACUAGCUGCUGUCACAUCUUCAGACAAAACAGAACAAACAAGCAGCAGUCAGACACCAGGUGGUGCUGAAGACCAGCCAGAAAAGAAAGGGACACUUGAGUGCAAGGAGUGUUCAGAAGGAGCAACAAGCAAUCAUUAGCUGCAGGAUACUCGGUGUCUGAUUGCAGUGAGUUAGGAGCAACGUAGAGUUACAUUAUCAGUAUGGCAAAAUUAGGAAUAAAACCAUUUUCAGGUGUGCAAAAUAGUACAAAAAUAUAUAAUGAUUGAGAAAUAAUGUCUGUUCUCACAGUCUAGCUUAAAGAUCUGUUUUUAAAAGAACCUUAACAGCUACAGAGCAAAAACACUUCUGUGUAAAGAUGUAAUGUUAAUCUGGGAGGAUGUGUACAUCAGUUCUUACUUAGCAAUGAGCAAUGCAAACAAAAUAUUUGAAACUUUUAAUGGAAGUUAAGGAGCAUACAGCCAAAAAUUAGUUUGGCCAGGCAUCGUGCAUAGUUUGGGCUUUUGGUGGUUCUGGGGUUGGCUGAGCAGAGUUUGGGAAGUCCCUCUGGCAAAGAGUGAGCAGCCGUUGGGCAGAGCACCUUCCCCAGCCAGAGGGCGCUUCCUGAGGUGUGACAUACAGCCUAGGUCUGCUUGCCACCCACCAUCCUGCUCCUCAUCAAGUACCAAAAACAAUGACAGUUUGAAGCCAGCUGUUGAAGGAGAAAGGAGGGAGCAGGUUGUUCAUCCCUUUUUUUUUUCCCCAAAAAAAGAAAUGUCACAGCUGCUACAGAAUGGUUGAUCUGUUGAUGGUGACAUGGAAAGAGUGUUUUUCAUCUAGGUCUUAAGAGUCAGUAUGCUAUAAAUAAGACAUUCACAGGUGGAAUAUAGGACAGGGAAUAGAGAAGCAAGGAAUGCCUGUUGCUGUCAUUGUUGUUCAGUGUGUUCCUUGGGGAAGAUUCAGUCACCCAAAAGACCAGUAUUCUUCUGCAGACUAACUGUAUUUGCACGUUUGAGAAAGUGCUGCUGCCUUGCCUCCCACAGAUACAGCACAUUUCAGGUGACUCAGUUUACCCUUAACUUGCUCUAGCCUUGGUGUUGGUGUCCUGGUCUGGAGAACAGGUUAUUUCCAGGCUAGCAUUGAGUGCUGUGCACAUACCGUAUGCACUGGACCGUGCCGUGUUAGACACUUUGAAACAAUUUAUGCAGGCGUAGGUUGAUGUUUGGGUGUGACAUCAAACAGUUCUUGUGAACUUUCUUGCUUGACGUUGUAAGAUUAAUAGUUAAAAUUACUUAUUCCUGAGGUACCAGCAGAGGGCACCGAGCUCCUCGAGUCUCCCUGUGGCUUUCAAAAGCCAGCACUUUCUGUGUUUGAACGAGGAACACGAAGGUGGCUGCAGUGGUUCUUUCGAGGACUUGUUUGAUAAAGCAACUGCAAUCUAUUAUAUCACUUUCCCUCUUUUCUGCAUGUCGGUUUUUUUUAUCUAGAAGCAUUCAGGUGCCUGGAUCCUUACCCUGGUUUUUGCUUACCAAUUUAAAUCCUUUUCCUGUCAGAGCAGACUCUACAAUCAAAAAGUCAGUUUUUCAAGAUGCUGUUUAUCCCUUGCACAUUGGGUGUGGUGACUUCCUUGGUUCUGAACUCAAGACAUGUUGUUUCUGGUGGUGGAGUGCUGCAUUUAUGUUCUCCCUUGACUUAAACCAUAAAAAAUCCCACACACCAAACCCUCCACACUCACUUGGAACUUUUAACUAAUUACAAACUGAACAAUUUUGCAAAUUACUGCUGAUGGAUGUCAUAUAUUCAUAUUGUAAGUAGCUAAGUCGUUUCAGUUACUAGUUCUACACAAAGUGGUUACACAACAUAUUUUGCCCCAAGGAAGAACAUGUGUUGUCCUCCUCUGUACUGAUAUAGGUCAACAACCCUAUUACUGUUCUGUUUUAUUGUAACAAUAUUUUCCCAUGUGUUCAUAGAGUAAUAAUGACUGUAAUAAUAAAAUAAAAACAUCCCUCAGGGUGUUCUACGAAACAGACAUUUCUGACUCCAUCUAGUAAAUGUGUUUUCUUAAAAAAAAGAAAAAAAAACAGAGAUCAAACAGAUCAUUUGCUAAACUGAGACAACAGGAUUUACUUAAGUGAAAGUAAUUGUGAAAGAGGCUAACUAUAUAUGCAAUCAUGAUUCAUAUAGUAUUUUUCCACUUCAUGUUAUAGUUGUUUACCUGGAAAAAGAUUUUAUGCCAUAAACUUGUAAGUUAUUAUAUGUAGAACAGAGCAAACUAUACUUGUAUUUUUCAAUUUACUCAUUGAAUUAAUUCAUUCCUUGCUUGUUGCUUUAAUGUUCAUGGCAAAUUUACUUAGGACAGAAUAUAUGUCUAGUACAGUGUUCCUUUAUGACUGGUUUACUUGCAGUAUGCGUGAAGCUUUUGUGGGCAGGGCAUUUUUAUCUGGAUAAAAAUGUUAACUUCUUUAACUUUAGUCAUAUUUUAUGCCAUUAGUACUCAGAUUUUAAUGGCAUCAGAAGGAAAAAAAAACACCCUAAAAAAAGUGCAAUGAAAACAUACUUUUAGAUUUAAGUGAAAGUUAAUACUGUGGUUGCUUAUGGUUAAGUUCUCUAAUACUAAUGUAGGCUUCUACAUUUAAAAAUGCAGAGCAUGCACUGAAUAUUUUAAAAAUUAAAAGAAAAUGAAAGGAGCUCAACAUUUUUUAGUUCAUGCCUAUUUGUUUGAUGUCAACAAAUAAUUAAGCAUGUAACUUCUGAGACAAUAAAUUACUUUUCCAGGUCUGAAAACGAAAUAAAGAUUUUAAAAGAGAAUUGUUUUAUUCUUUAUGUGUAUACAACACCAAAAGGGACGCUGAAGCAAAAUUUUGAGUGCUCUAGUGUCUUUGAAAAAUAAAAAUGUCAUUUACAGUGUUCCUCCUAAAGAGACCUUUGAGAGGAACUCAGCAACAGAAUUACCAGUCUUCACUCUUCAAGGCAUUAGGGGGCAUGAGGACUUCACAGGCUUUAAAUAAGUUAAAGUACAGUUAUUUUUCUUUCCAAAGUAAACAGGAAGCAGCAUAAAGUAGCAAAAUCAACUUCUGGAGUCAUUCCCUAGUGCAAGAUUAUGAUAUGGCUCUUAAUAAAAUUUCCAACAGAAGACAACCCAGACUUGUAUUAGAACAUUGACUACACCCUUCUUUCUGUAAGAGUAAUAAAACUAAUGGAUGUAAUGUAA